rnacentral:lncRNA from 1 species
AAAGAAGAUAUCUAUAGUGAUCACUACUAGUCAUUUUUCACUGAUCAUCAGUCUUAUUUUACCCUAGUAGGAUUCAAAGAACCAGCCACCCCAAUCUGAUCUCCUGUACCAGUCAAUCAGAGCUGAUCCUGAGCAGCUGGAAGAGAAAGAUUCAGGUGUUGGCACUUACAGUUCCUGUGUGCUGAUGGACUACUUCUGCCCAGCUGCAGGCAGUGUUUUUGUGAGUUCUUCAGGUGGCCCUUAUAUUUUUGUUUCUGUGUCAGCUAAUAGAACAAAUUCUUCUGCAGAAGCUUGGAUAGGUUGAAGCUACACUGAAGAGUUCCUAGCUGGAAGUUUCGUAAAGAACUGUUUCCUAUGGUUUAUGGUGUAUGGUAAGAAUGCUUGAUCAAAGUCAAGGAAAAGACCCCAGUUUCUCCCAGUUUCUUUUGGUGAUCUUCAGGUCCCUGCUCUUUUAAAUCUUUUUCUAGGUUUGUAUAAGGAAAUACCAACUGAAUGCCUGCACAAAAACAAGCUGUCUUCCCAUCUGCUAGUAAGGAGUGAGGGAAGCCAUUUUGAAGAUAAUUGUUGAAACUGCAGAACUUUUAAAUGUUUCUGGUCAGUCUUAUAUGUUUUAUACAAACAAGAGGAUUUGCAGAGAGAAGUGGACUACAGCAUAGAAUCCACUGCAUUGUACUUUCGCAGUAGCCAAGUGUUCUCUUCUAUAGGCUAGUUAUAGAAAAUGGAUAAGAAAAAUAUAUAGGAUUUAAAGGUUCAGUUGGCAAAAAGUUUAUUAGUGGUCAGCUGUUCUGGUAGUUUGACACUGAACCUGAAUUUUUUUCUAUAUACAUAUCAGGCUUAUUAGCAGUAUUUUUACAAUGGACUUUGAUAUUUAGGAUAUUGAUCAAUAAUUUUUUCUUCCAUGCUUUUAAGACUUGGAGUAAUAAAGGGAGAGUCGAUGCUAGAAGGGAGUUUAGG